rnacentral:rRNA from 1 species
GACGAACGCUGGCGGCGUGCCUAACACAUGCAAGUCGAGCGAGGAAUGACUGGUAGCUUGCUACCGGUUAUUUCUAGCGGCGGACGGGUGAGUAACGCGUGAGCAACCUGCCUUUAUCAGGGGGAUAACGCAUCGAAAGAUGUGCUAAUACCGCGUAAGACCACAGCCUCACAUGGGGCAGGGGUCAAAGGAGCAAUCCGGAUAAAGAUGGGCUCGCGUCCGAUUAGCUAGUUGGUGAGAUAACAGCCCACCAAGGCGACGAUCGGUAGCCGACCUGGGAGGGUGAUCAGUCACACUGGAAGUGAGAGCCGGUCCAGACUCCUACGGGAGGCAGCAGUGGGGAAUAUUGGACAAUGGGCGAAAGCCUGAUCCAGCCAUGCCGCGUGUGUGAAGAAGGUCUUCGGAUUGUAAAGCACUUUAAGUUGGGAGGAAGGGUUGCAGGUUAAUACCUUGCAGCCUUGACGUUACCGACAGAAUAAGCACCGGCUAACUUCGUGCCAGCCGCCGCGGUAA